rnacentral:rRNA from 1 species
GACGUAGGGGGCGAGCGUUAUCCGGAUUCACUGGGCGUAAAGGGCGCGCAGGCGGCUACGUAAGUCCGGCGUGAAAUCCCACGGCUCAACUGUGGAAUUGCGUCGGAUACUGCGUUGGCUUGAGGGCGGUAGAGGCUUCUGGAACUAGCGGUGUAGCGGUGAAAUGCGCAGAUAUCGCUAGGAACGCCGGUGGCGAAGGCGGGAGGCUGGGCCGAUCCUGACGCUGAGGCGCGAAAGCUAGGGGAGCGAACCGG